GAUGAACGCUAGCGGCAGGCUUAAUACAUGCAAGUCGAGGGGCAGCACAGGUAGCAGUACUGGGUGGCGACCGGCAAACGGGUGCGGAACACGUACGCAACCUUCCUUUAAGUGUGGGAUAGCCCAGGGAAACUUGGAUUAAUACCACGUAAUAUAAUUGAGUGGCAUCACUUGAUUAUUAUAGCUCCGGCGCUUAAAGA
rnacentral:rRNA from 1 species